rnacentral:rRNA from 1 species
UGGGGAAUAUUGCACAAUGGGGGAAACCCUGAUGCAGCGACGCCGCGUGAACGAAGAAGGUAUUCGUAUCGUAAAGUUCUGUCCUAUGGGAAGAUAAUGACAGUACCAUAGAAGAAAGCUCCGGCUAAAUACGUGCCAGCAGCCGCGGUAAUACGUAUGGAGCGAGCGUUGUCCGGAAUUAUUGGGCGUAAAGGGUACGCAGGCGGUUUAAUAAGUCGAAUGUUAAAGAUCGGGGCUCAACCCCGUAAAGCAUUGGAAACUGAUAAACUUGAGUAGUGGAGAGGAAAGUGGAAUUCCUAGUGUAGUGGUGAAAUACGUAGAUAUUAGGAGGAAUACCAGUAGCGAAGGCGACUUUCUGGACACAAACUGACGCUGAGGUACGAAAGCGUGGGGAGCAAACAGGAUUAGAUACCUUGGUAGUCCACGCCGUAAACGAUGAAUGCUAGGUGUUGGGUGUCAAAGCUCGGUGCCGAAGUUAACACAUUAAGCAUUCCGCCUGGGGAGUACGCACGCAAGUGUG